rnacentral:rRNA from 1 species
CCUACGGGUGGCAGCAGUGAGGAAUAUUGGUCAAUGGCCGAGAGGCUGAACCAGCCAAGCCGCGUGAGGGAAGAAUGUCCUACGGAUCGUAAACCUCUUUUGUCAGGGAGCAAAGUCACCCACGUGUGGGCGUUGGAGAGUACCUGAAGAAAAAGCAUCGGCUAACUCCGUGCCAGCAGCCGCGGUAAUACGGAGGAUGCGAGCGUUAUCCGGAUUUAUUGGGUUUAAAGGGUGCGUAGGCGGGUUAUCAAGUCAGCGGUAAAAGCGUGGAGCUCAACUCCAUCCAGCCGUUGAAACUGAUGAUCUUGAGUGGGCGAGAAGUAUGCGGAAUGCGUGGUGUAGCGGUGAAAUGCGUAGAUAUCGCGCAGAACUCCGAUUGCGAAGGCAGCGUACCGGCGCCAGACUGACGCUGAGGCACGAAAGCGUGGGUAUCGAACAGGAUUAGAUACCCGGGUAGUC